UGCUUGGGUAGCUCAGUUGGUAGAGCGCUUGCCCGAAAAGGCAAAAGGUCCCGAGUUCGAGUCUCGGUCCGGCAC
rnacentral:tRNA from 1 species